GACGAACGCUGGCGGCGUGCCUAAUACAUGCAAGUAGGACGCAGUUGCGAACGGGUGAGUAACGCGUAGGUAACUGCCUAUUAGAGGGGGAUAACUAUUGGAAACGAUAGCUAAUACCGCAUACUAGUAGAUGGACCUGCGUUGUAUUAGCUAGUAGGUAGGGUAAUUGCCUACCUAGGCAACGCUAGAUAGCCGACCGGAUAUGGUGAUCGGCCACAAUGGGAAUGAGACACGGCCCAGACUCCUACGGGAGGCAGCAGUAGGGAAUUUUCGGCAAUUGGUGGAACCCUGACCGAGCAACGCCGCGUGAGUGAAGAAGGUUUUCGGAUCGUAAAGCUCUGUUGUUAAGGAAGCGGUACUUAACCAGAAAGGGACGGCUAACUACGUGCCAGCAGCCGCGGUAAUAC
rnacentral:rRNA from 1 species